UGGGUACUUUUCGUCUUUCCAUUGCAAGAUGGGUACUUUUCGAGUUUUCGGGAUUCUUUAAUCUUGCCUAAAUGAUUCAAAGUCUUGAAAUUUAUGUUAAUUGUUCUGAAUUCUGAGGGUGUUGCUGAAGUUGCGUAAAUUCUAGAGUACAUCAACGAAUGACAUAACUUGCUGAAUUUGCGGGGGGAAAUGUAACGGAAUUUAGUGCGACUCUAAGACUAAGCCACUUAAAAUACAAUGCAUUGAUGUAGAGUAGAAGGUCUCCAAGUUAUUGACUACUUUCAGCCCGUUUUGUUGAAGCAUGAAAGUUUUGAUCAUUGUGUGGAAAGAUGAGGUUUUUUCUAGUGCUUUUUUACAGGACGGGAUCAACAGACUAGUAACUACUUUUGCAUUCUGCAAACUUGGAUUGGUGAAUUUCUGAUAUCUGAGAAGUUGCUGGAAGGAAGGGAGUUGGGGUUUUACACAUGGGAAGGGGACGUGCAGGAGUUGUUGAAAGGUGUUCGUGAGAAGCUCAACAAGCUCGGAGAGCAUUGGACUGGAGAUGACAAAAACAAAUGCUUUAAAGAAAUAACAAAAUCAUUUCGGUAUUUGGGGCAGAUAGUUCGUUUGAUCAUCCUAGAGCCCAAGUAAUCUGAAUCAAACUGCUCAGGAGAUCACUUAUCGGUAGCAUUGGUCUAGGGUGGACUCAUUUUUGUGUAGAAGGUGAUUUUUCGACAGGCUUAACUCUACGAGCUGGAGAUGAACACCAUUGCAUCACUAAUCUAGAGGGAAGACGAGGAUGUCUUGUAUACUUUUCUUCCAUAAGGCUGCGCUGAGCACAAGAAGCAGCUUCUUUUGCUGAGCCUUGCGGCGCAAGAAUCGUGGAUUUUCAUACUCUUUCAGAUUUUGGAAGCACCCAACUGCAACUAGAUAUUUUUAAGGGAAGAAUAUGUUAACAAAUGCAAGAAUAUUCAUACUGAAUUAUUACUGAGUUAACUCAGAGAUGGCAAUUUUAAACUUCUUUUGA